rnacentral:rRNA from 1 species
GACGAACGCUGGCGGCGUGCUUAACACAUGCAAGUCGAACGGAAAGGCCCUGCUUUUGUGGUAUGCUCGAGUGGCGAACGGGUGAGUAACACGUGAGUAACCUGCCCUUGACUUUGGGAUAACUUCAGGAAACUGGGGCUAAUACCGGAUAGGAGCUCCUGCGGCAUGGUGGGGGUUGGAAAGUUUCGGCGGUUGGGGAUGGACUCGCGGCUUAUCAGAUUGUUGGUGGGGUAGUGGCUUACCAAGGCGUUGACGUGUAGCCGGCCUGAGAGGGUGACCGGCAAGAUUGGGACUGAGAUAAGGCCCAGACUCAUACGGGGGGCAGCAGUGGGGAAUAUUGCACAAUGGGCGGAAGCGCGAUGCAGCAACGCCGCGUGCGGGAUGACGGCCUGCGGGUUGUAAUCCGCGUUCGCCUGUGACGAAGCGUGAGUGAAGAUAAUGGGUAAAGAAGCACCGGCUAACUACGUG